GCUAUUCAGCGCAAGAAGAGGAUGUUCAGCCCUUGGUGUUCAGAAGCAGGGAGUGCAGUGCAGAGCCAGAAUGGGAAGUACACUCUCCCAGUCUCACUCGCAAUGUGAUUCUCCUUUUGCAGUACAUUCAACAGGGAACUCAUAGCUUGAUUGAUCCAGCACUGAGUAUAUCACCUCCAGCCCCUGCUGACUCUCUGGAAACCCCACUUCUGCACACAUGGGAUUUCGAGGCACAUUUCCUAUUGUUAAAUCAUAACAAUAUUUACCGUGAAAAAGCCAGAAAGGUCACACUGAUUAAGACAGAGCCAGGAAGGAGUUUGGAGUGUUGAAGAAGAUGAUCAAAGGCCUGAGCAACUGGAGAAGAGAGAAUAUCUCAAGGAUACGGAAAAAGCGAAGAGCAGGUGAAUUGCAGAGCAUUGAGGCCGUGGCGAUGAGUGCGUGUUCUGUAUUCUAAAAACCUUUAUUCCUUGACAGGGCCGUGCUUUCCCUUGUCUUCCAUCUUGACCUGCGCUAUUUUUUCCUACUCACCUCCACACUCCCGAUAAUAUAUGUUCCUCUUCAAAACCUUCUUCCUUUGCCUUUCAAACUCAUUUUAUACUCCUGCUUUGCAUUGCAGAAAGGCCCUCC
rnacentral:lncRNA from 1 species